GUCAACUGAUUUCUUGGGUGACAGCAGGUCUAGCAUCUUUGAUGCCAAGGCUGGAAUUGCUUUGAAUGAUAAUUUUGUGAAGAUUGUGGCUUGGUAUGACAACGAAUGGGGCUACAGCAACCGGGUUGUUGAUCUUAU